AGAGUUUGAUCCUGGCUCAGGAUGAACGCUGGCGGCGUGCUUAACACAUGCAAGUCGAACGAUGAUCCGGUGCUUGCAUCGGGGAUUAGUGGCGAACGGGUGAGUAACACGUGAGUAACCUGCCCUUAACUCUGGGAUAAGCCUGGGAAACUGGGUCUAAUACCGGAUAUGACUCCUCAUCGCAUGGUGGGGGGUGGAAAGCUUUUUUGUGGUUUUGGAUGGACUCGCGGCCUAUCAGCUUGUUGGUGAGGUAAUGGCUCACCAAGGCGACGACGGGUAGCCGGCCUGAGAGGGUGACCGGCCACACUGGGACUGAGACACGGCCCAGACUCCUACGGGAGGCAGCAGUGGGGAAUAUUGCACAAUGGGCGCAAGCCUGAUGCAGCGACGCCGCGUGAGGGAUGACGGCCUUCGGGUUGUAAACCUCUUUCAGUAGGGAAGAAGCGAAAGUGACGGUACCUGCAGAAGAAGCGCCGGCUAACUACGUGCCAGCAGCCGCGGUAAUACGUAGGGCGCAAGCGUUAUCCGGAAUUAUUGGGCGUAAAGAGCUCGUAGGCGGUUUGUCGCGUCUGCCGUGAAAGUCCGGGGCUCAACUCCCGGAUCUGCGGUGGGUACGGGCAGACUAGAGUGAUGUAGGGGAGACUGGAAUUCCUGGUGUAGCGGUGAAAUGCGCAGAUAUCAGGAGGAACACCGAUGGCGAAGGCAGGUCUCUGGGCAUUAACUGACGCUGAGGAGCGAAAGCAUGGGGAGCGAACAGGAUUAGAUACCCUGGUAGUCCAUGCCGUAAACGUUGGGCACUA
rnacentral:rRNA from 1 species